rnacentral:rRNA from 1 species
CCCUUAGAUGUCCGGGGCUGCACGCGCGCUACACUGAAGGAAUCAGCGUGCUAGAAAACCUUGUUUGACAUGGCUAGGUAACCCGUUGAAAAUCUUUCGUGAUUGGGAUCGGGACUUGCAAAUGUGUCCCUUGAACGAGGAAUUCCCAGUAAGUGCGGGUCAUAAGCUCGCGCUGAUUACGUCCCUGCCCUUUGUACACACCGCCCGUCGCUGCCCGGAACUGAGCCGUUUCGAGAAGACUGGGGACUGCGAACUUUGGGCUGGAAAACAGCUUUUUGUUUGUGGAAACCACUUUAAUCGCAGCGGCUUGAACCGGGCAAAAGUCGUAGCA